GCUGCAAAAGCCCCAAACAACAUUGGUGCUGAGAAGAAAGGAGACCACCCCUGUUCCAUGUCAAAGCUCCAAAUGGCUCCCUCUCAGAAAGAACUUCAUACAGCUGUACAUGUGUUCAGCAACAGGAAGAAGAAUCUGAACCCCCACCAGUGCUGUUUAAAGGUAUCAUCCACUACUUUCAGGCUUUAAGAGCAGACAAGAUUUCAGGGUGAUUUGACCAGUCUCUGGAUUGGAAUAAGGUUCCCCAAAUUAUUACUGUUCCAGGAAGGAUACUCCGAAUUGUCGAGCUGCUGGCUGAGGAGGGACGAACUGCUCAACUCCUUUUUCACUUUACCCCUCAGUUGGUAACAAGAAGGUUAAUUAACAAGGACCUCUCUUGUGGAUAAUUAAAAGAAUCUCUGAGAAUUCAACAACUCUGAUGAAAACUUAUGUCUGUUUAUUAUGAUUGUUAAUUGUAAGCCCUGAAAGAGUAAUCACUGCAUUGUGCUGAUCCCUGUCCCAGUGAUUUCUAUGUUCUUUUCACAUACAGUUAGAAGGUAAAUGCAUUUUGCACAAAAGUCUAAAUACACGUUAGCACCUGAAAAACAUUAAUUAUCAAGGAUCUCAAAGAACUUGAGUAGAUUUGCUGUCUAUGCUCAUGUCAGACAAGGUACUUCUGGGAAGAUAGAUGGAGUCAGCUUAGCAGAAAAAUUG